rnacentral:rRNA from 1 species
GUGGAGGUCGUUAUCGGAUUACUGGGCGUAAGCGUGCGCAGGCGGUUUUGUAAGUCUGUCGUGAAAGCCCCGGGCUCAACCUGGGAAUUGCGAUGGAGACUGCAAGGCUUGAAUCUGGCAGAGGGGGGUAGAAUUCCACGUGUAGCAGUGAAAUGCGUAGAGAUGUGGAGGAACACCGAUGGCGAAGGCAGCCCCCUGGGUCAAGAUUGACGCUCAUGCACGAAAGCGUGGGGAGCAAACAGGAUUAGAUACCCUGGUAGUCCACGCCCUAAACGAUGUCUACUAGUUGUCGGGUUUUAAUUAACUUGGUAACGCAGCUAACGCGUGAAGUAGACCGCCUGGGGAGUACGGUCGCAAGAUUAAAACUCAAAGGAAUUGACGGGGACCCGCACAAGCGGUGGAUGAUGUGGAUUAAUUCGAUGCAACGCGAAAAACCUUACCUACCCUUGACAUGUCAGGAACCUCCGAGAGAUCGGGGGGUGCCCGAAAGGGAACCUGAACACAGGUGCUGCAUGGCUGUCGUCAGCUCGUGUCGUGAGAUGUUGGGUUAAGUCCCGCAACGAGCGCAACCCUUGUCAUUAGUUGCUACAUUCAGUUGAGCACUCUAAUGAGACUGCCGGUGACAAACCGGAGGAAGGUGGGGAUGACGUCAAGUCCUCAUGGCCCUUAUGGGUAGGGCUUCACACGUCAUACAAUGGUACAUACAGAGGGCCGCCAACCCGCGAGGGGGAGCUAAUCCCAGAAAGUGUAUCGUAGUCCGGAUCGCAGUCUGCAACUCGACUGCGUGAAGUUGGAAUCGCUAGUAAUCGCGGAUCAGCAUGUCGCGGUGAAUACGUGCCCGGGUCUUGUACACACCGCCCGUCACACCAUGGGAGCGGGUUUUACCAGAAGUAGUAGCUUAACCGCAAGGAGGGCGCUUACCACGGUAGAUUCGUGACUGGGGUG